AGUCCACGCUGUAAACGAUGUCGAUUUGGAGGUUGUGGGCUUGACCCGUGGCUUCCGGAGCUAACGCGUUAAAUCGACCGCCUGGGGAGUACGGCCGCAAGGUUAAAACUCAAAUGAAUUGACGGGGGCCCGCACCAGCGGUGGAGCAUGUGGUUUAAUUCGAUGCAACGCGAAGAACCUUACCUACUCUUGACAUCCAGAGAAUUCGCUAGAGAUAGCUUAGUGCCUUCGGGAACUCUGAGACAGGUGCUGCAUGGCUGUCGUCAGCUCGUGUUGUGAAAUGUUGGGUUAAGUCCCGCAACGAGCGCAACCCUUAUCCUUUGUUGCCAGCGCGUCAUGGCGGGAACUCAAAGGAGACUGCCGGUGAUAAACCGGAGGAAGGUGGGGAUGACGUCAAGUCAUCAUGGCCCUUACGAGUAGGGCUACACACGUGCUACAAUGGCAUAUACAAAGAGAAGCGAACUCGCGAGAGCAAGCGGACCUCAUAAAGUAUGUCGUAGUCCGGAUUGGAGUCUGCAACUCGACUCCAUGAAGUCGGAAUCGCUAGUAAUCGUAGAUCAGAAUGCUACGGUGAAUACGUUCCCGGGCCUUGUACACACCGCCCGUCACACCAUGGGAGUGGGUUGCAAAAGAAGUA
rnacentral:rRNA from 1 species